CUACGGGAGGCUGCAGUGGGGAAUAUUGGACAAUGGGGGAAACCCUGAUCCAGCAAUGCCGCGUGUGUGAAGAAGGCCUGCGGGUUGUAAAGCACUUUCGGUUGGGAGGACUGCUUCUAGCACUAAUAUUGUUGGAAGUUGACGUUACCUUCAGAAGAAGCACCGGCUAACUCCGUGCCAGCAGCCACGGUAAUACGGAGGGUGCAAGCGUUAAUCGGAAUUACUGGGCGUAAAGCGCGCGUAGGCGGCUAGAUCAGUCGGGUGUGAAAGCCCCGGGCUUAACCUGGGAACUGCAUCCGAUACUGUCUAGCUAGAGUACAGGAGAGGAGAGUGGAAUUCCACAUGUAGCGGUGAAAUGCGUAGAUAUGUGGAGGAACACCAAUGGCGAAGGCAGCUCUCUGGCCUGAUACUGACGCUGAGGUGCGAAAGCGUGGGGAGCAAACAGGAUUAGAUACCCCUGUAGUC
rnacentral:rRNA from 1 species